GAUGAACGCUGGCGGCGUGCUUAACACAUGCAAGUCGAACGGAAAGGCUCCUGCUUGCAGGGGUACUCGAGUGGCGAACGGGUGAGUAACACGUGGGUGAUCUGCCCUGCACUUCGGGAUAAGCCUGGGAAACUGGGUCUAAUACCGGAUAGGACGAUGGUUUGGAUGCCAUUGUGGAAAGUUUUUCGGUGUGGGAUGAGCUCGCGGCCUAUCAGCUUGUUGGUGGGGUAAUGGCCUACCAAGGCGUCGACGGGUAGCCGGCCUGAGAGGGUGUACGGCCACAUUGGGACUGAGAUACGGCCCAGACUCUUACGGGAGGCAGCAGUGGGGAAUAUUGCACAAUGGGCGCAAGCCUGAUGCAGCGACGCCGCGUGGGGGAUGACGGCCUUCGGGUUGUAAACUCCUUUCGCUAGGGACGAAGCGCAAGUGACGGUACCUGGAGAAGAAGCACCGGCUAACUACGUG
rnacentral:rRNA from 1 species